rnacentral:rRNA from 1 species
AUUGAACGCUGGCGGCAUGCCUUACACAUGCAAGUCGAACGGCAGCGCGGGAGCAAUCCUGGCGGCGAGUGGCGAACGGGUGAGUAAUACAUCGGAACGUGCCCAAUCGUGGGGGAUAACGCAGCGAAAGCUGUGCUAAUACCGCAUACGAUCUACGGAUGAAAGCAGGGGAUCACAAGACCUUGCGCGAAUGGAGCGGCCGAUGGCAGAUUAGGUAGUUGGUGAGGUAAAGGCUCACCAAGCCUUCGAUCUGUAGCUGGUCUGAGAGGACGACCAGCCACACUGGGACUGAGACACGGCCCAGACUCCUACGGGAGGCAGCAGUGGGGAAUUUUGGACAAUGGGCGAAAGCCUGAUCCAGCCAUGCCGCGUGCAGGAUGAAGGCCUUCGGGUUGUAAACUGCUUUUGUACGGAACGAAACGGUCUUUUCUAAUAAAGAAGGCUAAUGACGGUACCGUAAGAAUAAGCACCGGCUAACUACGUG